UACAGGGGGUGCAAGCGUUAUCCGGAUUCACUGGGUUUAAAGGGUGCGUAGGUGGGUUGGUAAGUCAGUGGUGAAAUCUCCGUGCUUAACAUGGAAACUGCCAUUGAUACUACUGAUCUUGAAUUUUCAGGAGGUAAGCGGAAUAUGUCAUGUAGCGGUGAAAUGCUUAGAUAUGACAUAGAACACCAAUUGCGAAGGCAGCUUACUACAGGAACAUUGACACUGAUGCACGAAAGCGUGGGGAGCAAACAGG
rnacentral:rRNA from 1 species